UGAUGAACAGCUACAAGGAUUACGGGGAGUGGAAAUAUCAGGAGGAAAAGGACGUUCGCCCUUAUUCUGAAGUAGAGACACAUUGAUUUACCAUCAGCUGACAGCAAAAGUAAGAAUUCAACUAUUCCAUAGCUAUUAGAAAUGACUGAAAGUGUUGAAUUAUACAACAGCGAUGGUUAAGGUGACUGAGGCGGUUUUCCAGAUUUGCCAACAAGCUUUGAUACACAGUUCUAUAAAGUUUCUCAGCCAUCAGCAGUCAGCACUGUCAGGUACUGUUUCCAAUUUCAUGUGACUUUAUCUUCAGGAACAGCAGGUCUAUUGGGAGAGAAGUUAGAAAUUGGACAACAGCCAUUUCAAACCCUCAAGUUUCUUCAGUGUAACUUAGAGAUGCUGGAGUAAACACACUGAUUUCCACACAACCGAAACCACUGAAAAGCAUAAUGAUAAGUGUUCCCAAAGUAAACUCAAAUACAGCCCUACGCCGCUCAAAACUGUGAAAGGGAACAACAAUUCAAUGCUGAAACUGAAACCUCUGACACCGCCCACAUUUUGAAAGGAGUGGCACAAACAGGUCAACGUGUGAAGGCAUCUCCACGGAAAUGGUUAUCUAAAAUGCCUGCCCUACUAAGCACAGUGUGUUAGGAAAUUAUGCUAAUUUUGGAGAUUUGUUGAACUUUGAUUUACACCAAGAGCAAACUAUGCAAAAAGAAAACUUCAAAUGUUAGAAACUUUGAGUACUUUGAGUAUGGAGACAACAAGAAGUAUGCUUUCUUUCUUUUAUAACAUCUUAUUGUAGGUGCAGUCUUUCAAAGUGGAGCAGUCAUCCUUGGUGGAGGGACGGCCAAGGCUGCAACUUUAUGUACAGCUUAUGUUGUAUAAAUUCAACCUUACUUUGUGCUGCUUCCUUUAUAUACAUCUGUAUCACAGUACAGCCUGUUUCUGUUUACCUCUGUUCCAGAUCUG